CCUGGUUGAUCCUGCCAGUAGUCAUAUGCUUGUCUCAAAGAUUAAGCCAUGCAUGCCUAAGUACACACUUUGGUAAAGUGAAACCGCGAAUGGCUCAUUAAAUCAGCUACAAUUUAUUAGAUCGUACACUGUUACUUGGAUAACUGUGGGAAUUCUAGAGCUAAUACAUGCCGAGAGUCUCUGCCUUUCGGGGCAGAGCGCAAUUAUUAGACCAAAACUAACCGAUUUCUUCGGAGGUCGAAAUUUUGGUGACUCUGGAUAACCUUCAGUAGAUCGCAUGGCCUUGUGCCGGCGACGUAUCUUUCAAGUGGCUGACCUAUCAACUUUCGAUGGUACGUUAUAUGCCUACCAUGGUGAUAACGGGUAACGGGGAAUCAGGGUUCGAUUCCGGAGAGGGAGCCUGAGAAAUGGCUACCACAUCCAAGGAUGGCAGCAGGCGCGCAAAUUACCCACUCCCAGUUCGGGGAGGUAGUGACGAAAAAUAACAAUGCGGGACUCUAUGAGGCCCCGUAAUUGGAAUGAGUACACCUUAAAUCGUUUAACGAGUAUCAAUUGGAGGGCAAGUCUGGUGCCAGCAGCCGCGGUAAUUCCAGCUCCAAUAGCGUAUAUUAAAGUUGCUGCAGUUAAAAAGCUCGUAGUUGGAUCUGGGGCUAGGGUUCACUGUUGACUACGUAAGUAGGCUCGGUGAUACUCAGCUCUCUUUGUCGGGGACUGUAGCAGUGCUCUUAAUUGAACGCUGUUGCAGCACGACACGUUUACUUUGAAAAAAUUAGAGUGCUUAAAGCAUGCAUGUCGCAUGAAUAGUGGUGCAUGGAAUAAUGGAAUAGGACCUCGGUUCUAUUUUGUUGGUUUUCGGAGCUUGAGGUAAUGAUUAAGAGGGACGAACGGGGGCAUUCGUAUUGCGGUGUUAGAGGUGAAAUUCUUGGAUCGCCGCAAGACGGACUACUGCGAAAGCAUUUGCCAAGAACGCUUUCAUUAAUUAAGAACGAAAGUCAGAGGUUCGAAGACGAUCAGAC
rnacentral:rRNA from 1 species